UAAAUUGUAGCAUAAAUAAAUGCAUUUAACUGUUAAUUAAAAGACUUUAGUAAUAACAAUUUAA
rnacentral:tRNA from 1 species